rnacentral:rRNA from 1 species
GACGAACGCUGGCGGCGUGCUUAACACAUGCAAGUCGAACGGAAAGGCCCUGCUUUUGUGGUGUGCUCGAGUGGCGAAAGGGGGGGUAACACGUGAGUAACCUGCCCUUGACUGUGGGAUAAGUUCAGGAAACUGGGGCAAAUACCGGAUAGGAGCUGCUGCUGCAUGGUGGGGGUUGGAAAGUUUCGGCGGUGGGGGAUGGACGCGCGGCUGAUCAGCUUGUUGGUGGGGUAGUGGCGUACCACGGCUUUGACGGGUAGCCGGCCUGGGAGGGUGGCGGGCCACAUCGGGCCUGGGCUGAGGCCCAGCCCCCUACCGGACGCAGCGCUGCAGCAUGUAACUUUCUGGGAGGGACGCUAGUCUGACAGCGCAGCGUGCGGUAUAGCGGCCUUCGGGUUGUAUACUGAUUUCCCCUUGGACGAAACGUGAGUGACGGUAAUGGGUAAAGAAGCCCCGGCUAACUCCGUG